rnacentral:misc_RNA from 1 species
GAUGAAGAACGCAGCGAAAUGCGAUACGUAGUGUGAAUUGCAGAAUUCAGUGACUCAUCGAAUCUUUGAACGCACAUUGCACCUCUCGGUAUUCCGGGAGGUAUGCCUGUUCGAGCGUCAUUUGUACCCUCAAGCUCUGCUUGGUGUUGGGUGUUUGUUCCGCCUCUGUGUGUGAACUCGCCUCAAAACAAUUGGCAGCCGGCGUACUUGUUUCGGAGCGCAGCACAUUUUGCGAUCCAGAUCAACGUACAGCGGCAUCCAAGAAGCCUUAUUUAACGCUCUUGACCUCGGAUCAGGUAGGGAUACCCGCUGAACUUAAGCAUAUCAAUAAGCGGAGGA